CACCGGCGGCUCGAGUGGUGGCCACUUUUAUUGGGUCUAAAGCGUCCGUAGCCGGCUUGGCAAGUCCCCUGGGAAAUCUGGCGGCUUAACCGUCAGGCGUCCAGAGGAUACUGCCAGGCUUGGGACCGGGAGAGGUGAGAGGUACCUCAGGGGUAGGGGUGAAAUCUUGUGAUCCCUGAGGGACCACCAGUGGCGAAGGCGCCCCGCUGGAACGGGUCCGACGGUGAGGGACGAAGGCCAGGGGAGCAAACCGG
rnacentral:rRNA from 1 species